AACGCCGCGUGUGGGAAGAAGGCCUUCGGGUUGUAAACCACUUUUGGCAGGGAAGAAAUGUCGAAUAUUAAUACCAUUCGGCGAUGACGGUACCUGCAGAAUAAGCACCGGCUAACUACGUGCCAGCAGCCGCGGUAAUACGUAGGGUGCAAGCGUUAAUCGGAAUUACUGGGCGUAAAGCGUGCGCAGGCGGUUGGAUAAGACAGGUGUGAAAUUCCCGGGCUCAACCUGGGAACUGCAUUUGUGACUGUUCGACUAGAGUGCGGCAGAGGGGAAGUGGAAUUCCGCGUGUAGCAAGUGAAAUGCGUAGAUAUGCGGAGGAACACCGAUGGCGAAGGCAACUCCCUGGGCCUGCACUGACGCUCAUGCACGAAAGCGUGGGGAGCAAACAGGAUUAGGUACCCUGGUAGUCCACGCCCUAAACGAUGUCGACUAGUUGUUGGACGGGAUACUGUUCAGUAACGUAGCUAUCGCGUGAAGUCGACCGCCUGGGGAGUACGGCCGCAAGGUUAGAACUCAAAGGAAUUGACGGGGACCCGCACAAGCGGUGGAUGAUGUG
rnacentral:rRNA from 1 species